rnacentral:lncRNA from 1 species
CAAUAAAAAAACAACAUAAAGCAAACCUCUGAACCCACAUCUAAAUUACCUAACUCUUCCAUUCCAUUACGGAAGAUAAUUCAAAGCAACUACCUCAAUUUGCAUUUGAAUCACUUAUAUUGUAACCUCUUAAGUCUGCAUCUAGUUGACCCCAUGUUUAUUAUUAUUAGAAAUGAACUAAAAUAUCUCCUCGAAUAUAUAUACCUAAAUUGCCAACAUCCGUUAUUCACGAAAGUAUACCUGUAUAUAUAUAAUAUUUCAAAAAAUAACAAAAAAAAACAUGUUGGUGCCACCUUGCAUCCACCGUGAGCGGUAAAUAUAAAUAUAAAUAUAAAUAUUAUUAAUCAUAAUAAUAAAUUAUGUAAGUUUUAAUUUAUAUUAGUUUAUACAUCUUGACUAAACUGCUAUUAGUCCAGCAAAGUUGAUAUUUUAAUUGUGAGCAGGC